rnacentral:rRNA from 1 species
UACGAAGGGGGGCUAGCGUUGCUCGGAAUCACUGGGCGUAAAGGGUGCGUAGGCGGGUCUUUAAGUCAGGGGUGAAAUCCUGGAGCUCAACUCCAGAACUGCCUUUGAUACUGAAGAUCUUGAGUUCGGGAGAGGUGAGUGGAACUGCGAGUGUAGAGGUGAAAUUCGUAGAUAUUCGCAAGAACACCAGUGGCGAAGGCGGCUCACUGGCCCGAGUACUGACGCUGAGGCACGAAAGCGUGGGGGAGCAAACAGGGA